rnacentral:misc_RNA from 1 species
GAUGAAGAACGUAGCGAAAUGCGAUAAGUAAUGUGAAUUGCAGAAUUCAGUGAAUCAUCGAAUCUUUGAACGCACCUUGCGCCCUUUGGCUAUUCCGAAGGGCAUGCCUGUUUGAGUAUCAUGAACACCUCAACUCUCAUGGUUUGCCAUGAUGAGCUUGGACUCUGGGGGUCUUGCUGGCCUAUGGUCAGCUCCUCUCAAAUAAAUCAGCUUGCCAGUGUUUGGUGGCAUCACAGGUGUGAUAACUAUCUACGCUUGUGGUUUUCCAUCAGGUAACCUUCAGUGAUGGAGGUUCGCUGGAGCUCAUAAAUGUCCCUCCUCAGCGAGGACAGCUUUUUGAACGUUUGAUCUCAAAUCAGGUAGGACUACCCGCUGAACUUAAGCAUAUCAAUAGCGGAGGA